GAGAAUAUGCACCGACGAAGACGCCUAAAUCCAAAGGCUGAUGCCAACUUUUACAUUGAUACUGGAGGGGACAAAGUGGGACUUGACAUCAAAUACAUCAAUGCCUUCAAAGGUCGUGGUCUGCUCUAUUUGAAAAGGGAGACUUUCUGUUGGAAUAUAGAGGUGAAUUAAUAAGCCAGCAAGAAUGUGAACGGAGACAGAGACUUCAUCAAGACUGCCUGAAGGUGUUCAUGUUCGAGUUCUAUUUUAAAGGAAAACUAUGGUGUUUUGAUGCAGCAAAAGAGGAUGGGUCACUUGGAAGACUUGUGAACGAUAAUAAUGUCAACCCCAAUGCCAAGAUGAAGUACCUAAACAUACAAGGGAAGCCCCAUCUGUGUUUGUUUGCAACACGAGACAUCAGUCAAGGAGAGGAGGUCACCUAUAAUUAUGGUGACUCGGAUUGGCCGUGGAGAUGCAAGCUUCAGAAAUCUGAAGGAAAGUCUUCGGACGGGGAGCACGGUGAGGGUCCAUCUACAUCCGAGCCUUCUCAGAGUACUCAAAAGGUGUCAACAAGUAAGAGGCAAGAAAAGAGAUCUCCAGGUGCAUCAACUAGUCUGCUCAAAAGAUAUGAAAAGAUGAUAACAGUGAGCUGAUUGAGUCUGCUCAGAGGGACGAAACUGACCAGCUUGAGACCUCUGUGGAUGGCCUGAAUCCAACAUUCACACAACUUGGUCUCCUCAACUGGGUUGAAGAGAUGAUAACAGUGAGCUGAUUGAGUCUGC